rnacentral:rRNA from 1 species
GAUGAACGCUGACGGCAUGCUUAACACAUGCAAGUCAACCUGUGGCGGACGGGUGAGUGAGGCGUAAAGAACUUGCCUCUCACGUAGGGACGGGGUUUGGAAACGAAAACUAAUACCUAAUACUGUGAGAGAGCUUGGCGUCCCUUUAGCUAGUUGGUGAGGUAACGGCUCACCCAGGAGAGGAUGGGUAGCCGGCCGGAGAGGGUGAUCGGCCACAAGGGCACCGGGACGCGGCCCUUAGGCAUCCGGGAGGAAGCAGUGAAGACUAUCGGAGAAUGGACCAAAGUCUGAUACAGCAAUUCGGUUUGCAAGAUCAAGUUUUCGGAAUGAAAAGUUCUUUCCGUUGAGAAGCGGUACCAACAGAAGAAGCGACGGCUAAAUACGUGCCAGCCGCCGCGGUAAUAC